UCCACUCCCCACUCUUUCCUCCACUCCCACACACCCUCCUCCUACCUCUCCCCACGAAAUUUCUGCUCCUCCUAGCUUCAUGGCCGGCCAUGGCCAUGAAAAGCUCUCCAAGAUGAAGCUCCCCCCCUCCCUCAAGCUCCCCCUCUCCAUGAGAGCAUCCCUCUCCUUCUUCUCCCCAAUCCUAGAUGGUUUUCUCUCCUCUUCUUCUUCCUCCCUAGCUAAGUUUGGAUCUUGAUGCAGGUGCAUGUUGGUCCAAGCAUGGAGAAGCUUCACCUAUCCUCAGAUCUGAAGUUCUUGACCAAAAUUCGUCCAAAACCUUGCAGGGAUACUUAGUUUGUGCCAUGGUGAUAGCUAGAGAGGCAAUUUCUAAGUCGUGGCACUCUCAUACCUUUACUAGAUGCGAACAAUUCCGGAGAAGAAGAAGAAGAAGUGGAAUCAGACAAGGAUUUUAUUUAUGUUGUUGGGAUUCUUAUAUUGAUGGAGUUGAAGAAGUCCAGGGACAAAUAAGCCAAG